UUAACAUGAGAGUUUGAUCCUGGCUCAGGAUGAACGCUGGCGGCGUGCCUAAUACAUGCAAGUCGAACGCGCAGCGAAGAGUGCUUGCACUCUUCAAGCGAGUGGCGAACGGGUGAGUAACACGUGAAUAACCUACCGAAAAGCAGGGGAUAACAUUUGGAAACAGAUGCUAAUACCGUAUAAAACGUGCUGUCGCAUGACAAAACGUUAAAAGGUCCGUUUGGACCACUUUUUGAUGGAUUCGCGGUGCAUUAGUUAGUUGGUGGGGUAAAGGCCUACCAAGACGAUGAUGCAUAGCCGAGUUGAGAGACUGACCGGCCACAUUGGGACUGAGACACGGCCCAAACUCCUACGGGAGGCUGCAGUAGGGAAUCUUCCACAAUGGGCGAAAGCCUGAUGGAGCAACGCCGCGUGUGUGA
rnacentral:rRNA from 1 species